GAUGAAGAACGUAGUGAAAUGCGAUACUUGGUGUGAAUUGCAGAAUCCCGUGAACCAUCGAGUCUUUGAACGCAAGUUGCGCCCGAAGCCACUAGGCCGAGGGCACGACUGCCUGGGCGUCACACGCCGUUGCCCCCCCAUCUACUCCUUCGGGAUUGCGGGGGGGCGGAUGAUGGCCUCCUGUGCGCCUAGCCGCGCGGUUGGCAUAAAUACCAAGUCCUCGGCGACGCACGCCACGACAAUCGGUGGUUGCGAAACCUCGGUUGCCCGUCGUGUGCGUUCGUCGCGCAUCGAGGGCUCGAAAAAAUGCUCGGCUCCGGCUGGGCUUUCAACGCGACCCCAGGUCAGGCGGGGUUACCCGCUGAAUUUAAGCAUAUCAAUAAGCGGAGGA
rnacentral:misc_RNA from 1 species